GUAAGUCCUUGCCCCGUUCCAAGGCCUCAGUUUCUCCAUGGUUAAAUGGGUGGGCUGGGCCUGUCAAAUCCUUCCACCAGUUAGCAAAAUGCUUCUCAAAUCAGGUCUGAGUCAGAAAGACAGUUUAACAUAUAAGAUUAAAUGGAACUGAAUCAUGCAGUAAACAAAUUAUUCCUUUUCCAAUUUUUCUGUCCGACUGCAUUAAGGAGAAAGUCUCAUUGUGCUGCUACUUAGUCUUUAACACCUAACACUUUUUGUUAAAUUUUAUUUUUGCAGAGAUGGGGACAUGCAAUGUUGCCCAGGAUGCUCUUGAACUCCUGGGCUCAAGCAACCUGCCUGUCUUGGCCUCCCAAAGUGCUGGCAUGACAGGCAUCAGCCACUGUGCCUGGCCACCUAACACUUCUUAAUGAAUGGAGAGACAGCUCAUGCUUGGACGGCAGGCUAUUUAAUGACACUUUUGGUUUCAGUGUUUUCUUUGUUUAUAUAUAUAUAUUCUAUUUACUUAAGUAGUAUUGGUUUGAGAUACAUGAUAGUGACAGAUUUCUAAGUUCAAAUAAACUUAAGUUUAUAAAAGGAGAGGGUGGCCGGGUGCGGUGGCUUAUACCUGUAAUCCCAGCACUCUGGGAGGCUGAGACGGGCAGAUCACCUGAGGCCAGGAGUUUGAGACCAGCCUGGCUAACAUGGCGAAACCCCGUCUCUACUAAAAAUACAAAAAUUAGCCAGGCAAUGGUGGUGCAUGCCUGUAAUCCCAGCUACUUGGGAGGCUGAGGCAGGAGAAUCACUUGAACCCGGGAGGCAGAGGUUGCAGUGAGCCAAGAUGGCACCAUUGCACUCCAGCCUGAGCGACAAGAGCGAAACUCAGUCUCAAAAAAAAAAAAAAAAAAAAAAAAAAGGAGUGGGUGCAAGCUUCGGCGGUACAUAUACGAAAACUGGAACAAUACAGAGAAGAUUAGAAUGACCCCUGUACAGAAUAGAAGCUUCUUGAAGACCGGGACUUUGUCCCGUAUCCUCAGUGGCUGAAAAAAAGUGCCUAACACAUACUAGUAGCUCAACAAAUGAAUGGCAAAACUGUAAAGAUGGAGGGAGAACUAGCCCUAAGGUGGAGAGGUGCUGACCCGGACUCCAAUAUCCGAGGCGGGGCAAGACAGCAGCCACCAGAGGCACAGUGGAAAGGGAGCUCAAACCUUGGCCUCAUUAGUACCAGCCUGCCAUGCACUGAGCCACCUGCCUCCCUCCCACGGAGGCAGCAAAGAGAGCCGAGUCAGCAACUAUUAAUGAAGAAGGAAUGGUGGAAUUAUAAUAUCACCACCAGGUAACCAUCCUUAUAAUAACUGAUUCCGGCAAGAAUCAACAAUAAUGUUACAACUAGUGGGCAAAGGUUUGAGGAAGAGUAAGAUAUUUACAUAUUCUCAAAGAAUCUACCCACAAGAUACAUGUUAAUUACAAAGGAGGAAAUUAUCUUUACAGCAGAGAAAUCUAGCAGACAACACCUUAGCCAAGCAAGUUAGACCACCGGAGAGGGGACAUGGAGAGCCCAUGUGCCUCCUGAUAUGAUUCACUGGGAAGGACAAAACGUGCUUCUGUGAUAUUCCUGCCAAACAGGCAUGACUUAAAUGGAACCAUGAAGAACCAUCAGACAACCCAGAUGAGGGCCAUUUUACAGAAUAACUGCUCUAUGCUUCAAAAAGAUCAAUGACAUGAAAGAGAAAGAAAAUCUGAGAAAUCAUUCCAGAUUCAAGGAGAAUAGAGAGACGAGAAUUAAACGCAGCAUACUGAACAAAAUUUCUUUUGUCUUAGAAGAUAUUAUUGGAACCAUUGGCAAAAUCUGAAUAAAUUCUGUCGAUUAUCCAAUAGAAUUGUAUCAGCAUUAAUUAUCUGGUUUUGAUAAGUACACUGUGGUUAUGUAAGAAAAUGUCCGUAUGUAAAAAAAAAAAACAACAACAAAAACACACGUUGGGGUAUUUAGGAGAAAGGGACAUUACAACCUUCUCUCAAACAGUUUAGGGGGAAAGCAAUAGAAAAACAGACACAUUGAGAGGAAAUAAUAAAGCAAAUGUGGAAAAUUGUUAGCAGUUGGAGAGUCUGAGGGAAGAGCAUGGGGAAAUUCUUUGUAUUGUUCUUGCAACUUCUCAGUAAGUCUGAAAUUAGCCUGAAAUUAAAAGUUAAGUGAAAAAACAGGCCAGGUGCAGUGGCUCGCG
rnacentral:lncRNA from 1 species